AGCCUGUGAUAACUUAUUAGCUCUGAUAAGUCAUUAAGUGGUGGGGAACUUGAGUGUGUGCCAUCAUCUGCCUUGGCCCAGCUCCUCCAGCAUGGAUCACACACUGGCUAGGCACCCUCCUGCUCUGCAGCCUGGCUCACACAGCUGUGCCCAGCAAAGGCAGGUCUGUGCUGUGCCAUGGAUGCACCUGAGCUGCUGGGAGAAGGCAGAUGUCCACCAUGGAGCCUCUGCCUAGCCCAUGGCCUGUCACAUACUAUCCAAAGUGCUGCAAAGCAGACCGAGGACUGCAGAGGCUCAGCACACCUAAAGGCUUCCUACCCACCUGGCUCCAGGAUGGCUGGCCUGGGAGCAGAGACACCAGACCUGGGCUAGGCUUGCUCUGAGGAGGCUGCAGGGAUCUCGCUGCCAGUGUGAUCUCAUGGAGCAGCCGGAGCAUCCGUUAGGCUGCGUGGGGCUGGUGUGCCGUGUUUGUGAAACCCGCCACGCUUGCGGUUGACCAGAGCGCUGAAAUAAGCCCGGCCGGAAUUGGUGCACUGCUCUGUAUCCUGAUGUGGUGAGCAGCUCCGAUCAGCGAGGGUGGGGGCAACCCCACUGGGGAGACUGGUGGCAAUGGGACUGUGGGGGCUUGGCAGCACCGGCAUGAGGACAGCAUGCAGGGCCCCGCCAGGGCCCGGAAAGCUCAGCCUGGCACUAACGGAACUGUGAUAAAAAUGAACGUGACCAGGACAGCAGCACGGGGGAGAUUAAUGUCAGAUUGUCAGAGGGGAGGAAACUAAGGCAGACAGCACUCAAACAGAUACUGGAGUGUGCUGGGGGGGCGAUGGGGGUAGAUGCUGCUUUUCCCGGCUUUGCUGUAUCUGCAGAUCUGCAUCCCCCCCUACAGCCUUAGAGGAGAGAGGAAUGGAUGAAGGGUUUGCCUGAAAAGUGUGCAUGAUCCUGGUCAAUCCCUGUCCUCAAAUCCUUGCACUUCUGCAGGUGGGGGGCUUGCCCCUCCAUACUAGCCUGAACACUAAUAUCAGCAGCACUUGCUGCCUGACACGUUGCUGCACAUCUCUUGCCCUGGCCUGCUUUUCUGAUGUUUCCCACCAGCAAAGCUUUGGCUGUGACAGGGGAGUCCUUGGCUGCAAGAAAGUGCUUCACCAUGGCUGCUCACAGGAACAAAGCUUCCCACGUCAUUGCUGUCAGCUGCUCUGGCCUUGCCUGCACUGCCAGAGACGCCUGGUCGUUCAGUGGCUCUCAUGCUUCUUGAUCCCCUGAUAUCACCAUGGCUUCUCCAGAACUCAACAGCUUCCAGCUGUCCAGGUCUGGGUGGAUGAGCCAGCUACAAGCACAUGUUGAUGCACCAACCGAGAUACCACCGAGGUGAUGCUGGCUCCUGUUUGAGAAGCUGGAGUUGGCCAGUGUGGGAGCAGACAGUCCCAGCAGCGAUGGGUGACAAAAUCCUCUUCUGUAAGCAGCAAAUGGUUUACCAAAGAGUUGCUGAGCAUCACCUUCCCUGUCCUGCUCUGAACUGUUGCCACUGCAGUGCUGCUCUGUGGGCGGUGAGCAUGAACAUGUCAGCUUGGAAGGACAGUUGGCAAGUCAACAUCUCUGGUCUUUGGUGCAAGCCCUGGACCACUCCGGUUUGGACCAGCUCAAGAAUUAGAGGGUGAGAAGUGCCCAGGAGCCUUUUUACUUGUGUACCUGGAUGAGAGCACGGACUUGUCUUAAUGACAAGCUCUGGGGCAGAGCCUUGCGCAGCCACCCAGUAGCCUCAUACAGCCAAGCACUGGGAAGGAUGGGGAGAGGGAACCAAGCUGUGUCCCCUGGCAGAUGGAUGUGGUGGGCUGGCUGAUCAGAGGCACACUGACAUGGAAGGAGCUGGCAAGGCCCACGCACCCAGACUAAGUCUCCCUCUCUGUAAGGAGAGACUCAGCACACUGUGCCGUGUGGCUCCUGCUUUAGCCACAAGCUCACUGCUUCUCUGCUGCCUCACCCUCUGCGCCUGCAGCUGUAAGGAGGGUCCUCUCUUUAGAGCGUCCGACGCCACGCCGAACUCAGAGGCUUGGGAUGCUCUCAGGUUGCUCUUCGCUCAGGUUGGCUUUCUCCAGCCCGUGGCCUGUAGGGUUGACGCCGCCGCAUCCCUGCUGGCCAGAUGAUGCUCUGCGCCUCACGGCUUUACCACGUGCAGCCCUCGUGCUCUUGCGCUCCCAGCUCCCCGUGGCACUGAGCCACGGCCCCUAGAGGGGACAAUCCCGACAUCCCCUGAGCCGAAGCUGUCAAAGCCAGGUCUCGCCCGCCAGCGCGGGUGAGGCCCACGUGCUCCCGGCCCAGCUUCUCCAGCCGCGCCGCGCGCAGCCGCCGCCCUCGGGAGCGGGAGGCAGCCCCGAGGCGCAACGCGGGGCCUGCCUCGCCGUGGCAGCGGGGCUGGGCAGGGAGGACGGGGGUCCUGGUGGGUCCAUCAUGGCCCCAGCGGGGUGGGCCACUUGGGCUGUGCCUCGAGGCCCUGGGGUGGCCCCGGAGGAGCUCCCCGGGCCCAGGGGACGUUUCCUGUUUGCUGCCCGCACUGAAGCAUCGGCCCUUCAACCGCCGCCAGUCCUCUGCUUCCGGCAGGGGCUCCCGCCCGGAGCCCCCCUGCACUAUCAGCUCACCAGAUGCCUUUUUCAGGAUACUGUGGUAAAACUGUGCCGGGCAGGCGCUGUCAUUUGGGGUUUUCUCUCGUGUCAACCUCGAAGACAAAUUGGAUGAGGAGGAGCGAGACGGGAGGAAAGGAAAAAAAAUAAUGCAUUUAACCCAAAAAA